CCCCACUCAACCUCACCAGUGAACUUAAUUUGCAUCUGCUCUGGGUCUUAGUGCACCACAUUAGUUCUCUUCCUAAUUUUACAACAAAAAGCUUUCUUUUUUUUAAAGAUUUUAUUUAUUUAUUAAUGAGAGACAGAGAGAGAGAGAGGCGGAGACAUAGGCAGAGGGAGAAGCAGGCUUCCUGCAGGGAGGCCGAUACAGGACUCAGUCCCAGGACCCCGGGAUCAUGCCCUGAGCCAAAGGGGGAUGCUCAACCGCUGAGCUGCCCAGGCGCCCCCAAAAAGUUUUCUUUAUGCUUUUAUUCUUGCGAGUGCAAAUACUCGCAAUCAAGACUCCGGGGAAGAUGUCUGCCCAGCACCUCCACCCCGCUCCCCAACCCAAGGAAACAGAAUCCAAAAGUGGGGAGCACUGGAUGUGGGCCAGCUCUGUGUCUUUACUUCCACUGCUUCCCUGCUUCUCAAGCUCUUCUUUCUAACCUCCAUCGCCACCAGCAGGUCCUAACAGGGCCUAGUCCUUCCGUGGUCCAUCGUCUGGUGGGCGUCAACAGGCGGCAGGGGGACCCCCCUCCUUGCACUGAGCGCUUUGUGAAUACAGGGGAUGAGACAGGAGGAGUGUGCAGUCUGUCCCUAGACCUGGACCCACACACGUCCCAGAGGAUUGUUGGUUCCACCAACACGGAGCAAGGGCUCGGGGCAAGGCCUGAGGACAGAGAGGGUGGACGGCAGAGCAGCUGCUCGCAGGUGGCCAUUCCUUCGUGGGGGACAUCCACAGCAUUUCCCACGGAUGUUAGCCGGUGCCCCUCUGCGAAGGUUCUGUGGCUGUCACGGAUGACAAGUGUUGGGGAAGCAAAGGAAACCAAGAUUCUCUUACCAGGCUGACGCGCACCGUGACUCCAGGGCAGGGAAACACGGGCGAGCUUUCUGAACCCGAGUGGACCCCGGGCCCUCCCUCCGCUUGCCCAAGUAUCCUCUCUUCCCUGGAACGUGGCUUGGGAGCUGCUGAAGCAGGGUAAUCUAAGUUUGUUCUGACCUCAGCAAUUUAAAACACGCAACCAACAAUGUCUGUAUCCUUUGUUUUCUUCUCCUUAGGUCAGUAACGAGAUCCGAGAGGUUUCCGUC
rnacentral:lncRNA from 12 species